AUGCAAGUCGAACGAUGAAGCUUCUAGCUUUGCUAGAAGUGGAUUAGUGGCGCACGGGUGAGUAAGGUAUAGAUAAAUCUGCCCUACACAAGAGGACGACAGUUGGAAACGACUGCUAAUACUCUAUACUCCUGCUUAACACAAGUUUGAGUAGGGAAAGUUUUUCGGUGUAGGAUGAGACUAUAUAGUAUCAGCUAGUUGGUAAGGUAAUGGCUUACCAAGGCUAUGACGCUUAACUGGUCUGAGAGGAUGAUCAGUCACACUGGAACUGAGACACGGUCCAGACUCCUACGGGAGGCAGCAGUAGGGAAUAUUGCGCAAUGGGGGAAACCCUGACGCAGCAACGCCGCGUGGAGGAUGACACUUUUCGGAGCGUAAACUCCUUUUCUUAGGGAAGAAUUCUGACGGUACCUAAGGAAUAAGCACCGGCUAACUCCGUGCCAGCAGCCGCGGUAAUACGGAGGGUGCAAGCGUUACUCGGAAUCACUGGGCGUAAAGGGCGCGUAGGCGGAUUAUCAAGUCUCUUGUGAAAUCUAAUGGCUUAACCAUUAAACUGCUUGGGAAACUGAUAGUCUAGAGUGAGGGAGAGGCAGAUGGAAUUGGUGGUGUAGGGGUAAAAUCCGUAGAUAUCACCAAGAAUACCCAUUGCGAAGGCGAUCUGCUGGAACUCAACUGACGCUAAGGCGCGAAAGCGUGGGGAGCAAACAGGAUUAGAUACCCUGGUAGUCCACGCCCUAAACGAUGUACACUAGUUGUUGGGGUGCUAGUCAUCUCAGUAAUGCAGCUAACGCAUUAAGUGUACCGCCUGGGGAGUACGGUCGCAAGAUUAAAACUCAAAGGAAUAGACGGGGACCCGCACAAGCGGUGGAGCAUGUGGUUUAAUUCGAAGAUACGCGAAGAACCUUACCUGGGCUUGAUAUCCUAAGAACCUUUUAGAGAUAAGAGGGUGCUAGCUUGCUAGAACUUAGAGACAGGUGCUGCACGGCUGUCGUCAGCUCGUGUCGUGAGAUGUUGGGUUAAGUCCCGCAACGAGCGCAACCCACGUAUUUAGUUGCUAACGGUUCGGCCGAGCACUCUAAAUAGACUGCCUUCGUAAGGAGGAGGAAGGUGUGGACGACGUCAAGUCAUCAUGGCCCUUAUGCCCAGGGCGACACACGUGCUACAAUGGCAUAUACAAUGAGACGCAAUACCGCGAGGUGGAGCAAAUCUAUAAAAUAUGUCCCAGUUCGGAUUGUUCUCUGCAACUCGAGAGCAUGAAGCCGGAAU
rnacentral:rRNA from 1 species